rnacentral:rRNA from 1 species
AUUGAACGCUGGCGGCAGGCUUAACACAUGCAAGUCGAGCGGGCGAGGUUGCUUCGGUAACUGAGCUAGCGGCGGACGGGUGAGUAAUGCUUAGGAAUCUGCCUAUUAGUGGGGGACAACAUUCCGAAAGGGAUGCUAAUACCGCAUACGCCCUACGGGGGAAAGCAGGGGAUCUUCGGACCUUGCGCUAAUAGAUGAGCCUAAGUCGGAUUAGCUAGUUGGUGGGGUAAAGGCCUACCAAGGCGACGAUCUGUAGCGGGUCUGAGAGGAUGAUCCGCCACACUGGGACUGAGACACGGCCCAGACUCCUACGGGAGGCAGCAGUGGGGAAUAUUGGACAAUGGGGGGAACCCUGAUCCAGCCAUGCCGCGUGUGUGAAGAAGGCCUUUUGGUUGUAAAGCACUUUAAGCGAGGAGGAGGCGCUCUAGGUUAAUACCCUAGAUGUGUGGACGUACUCGC